UAUGAACUAUGAAGGAAAGAAGGGGCAGUAUUCUCACUAGCAGUGGCUGAUGUGAGACAUUAACGUACCAGUAGGUCAUGUGGGUGAACAGUCGGUCUGUAAAGUUCAUCAAGGACUAUCUAACAACUGAGGAAAUACAAUGCUCAAAAUACAGAAGAACCUGUUCAGAUAGUUAAAGGGUCAAAUGAGAUCCGGCACCAAUAGGAAUGGUAUGAAAUAUGAUCCUGGGGCCUCUGUCCUUUUGUGUCAAGCACAAAGAAACAAGCGAGACAAAGAAACAGCCCAUGUAACCAAGCUCCGAACAAGAUUUAAACAACCGACGUGGUGAACAUCAAUCUUAGGAUGUGUUACAUGAAAUGGAGUCAUACUCCAGAAGAAAUGCUGGUUAUAUUUUAAAAGACCGCUUUGUCUAAAGAAAAUGCCAAGUGGAAUUUCCAUGCAGUAAGUGAUCUUUCUACAAGAAGCUGGCAAGACAAAAGCAACAACGAGAAAAGGUGAAGAGUGGCUCGUGUGAAGUGAAGUUACAGCAUUAUAACCUCUAAAAAAUAAAACAAACAUAAAAAAGGA